rnacentral:lncRNA from 1 species
CCCCCUUCUGCUUUAUUUUUCUCUCCCCUCUGCCUCUUUCUCCUAGCCGAUUCUUCCUCCAGCCUUAAUCUUGAGCGCUCAGCUCUUGCUAGAAAGCGGUUUACAUUGCAAGGUCUUUCCAACCGUAGAGCGCCACCCAAAGAUCCAGAAUCUAAAGAGAGAGACGUUACCCGUCGCUUUUCCUUAGCUUCCUCCAUCAGCACCACAACUAACACAUCUGCUCUAACCAAAGGUCCCCUUGUUCCUGCAGUUAAAGUCAAGAGGCAUGAAAUUAAAAGUGACCCAACUCCUCUAGGGUUUGAAGAUGCCUUUGCAAGAAACAUCUUGGCUCAAGCUAAAUGCAGCGCUGUUAUUCCGCCUACAAGAUCGGUACCUAGAUCUGCUUCACAGACAGGAUGGCCCACCCGGCAGAUGCCUUCUCUAGAUACAUUUGAAGAUUUUGAAGCGAUCCCAUCCAGUGCUGAGGAACUUUCUAAUUCUUCAGAUAUGGAGGAGGAAAGCCAACCUAACAACGGAUCCAGUCUUUACCGGGUAGAAGGCAAUUUUGACACCUGUUUCCCAGAUUCCCUUACUCUAGAGGAUGGAGAUUUAGUGCAGUUUAUACAGGAAGGCGAAGAUGGACAAUGA